UACGGAGGGUGCUAGCGUUGUUCGGAAUUACUGGGCGUAAAGGGCGCGUAGGCGGCCGUUUGCGUCGGAUGUGAAAGCCCGGGGCUCAACCUCGGAACGGCACUCGAUACGGGACGGCUGGAGACCGGGAGAGGAGAGUGGAAUAGCCAGUGUAGAGGUGAAAUUCGUAGAUAUUGGCUGGAACACCGGUGGCGAAAGCGGCUCUCUGGCCCGGUUCUGACGCUGAGGCGCGAAAGCGUGGGGAGCAAACAGG
rnacentral:rRNA from 1 species